rnacentral:rRNA from 1 species
AUGCGCCAUUUAUGCACUCCAAAUUACAAGGAUUUGGUGAGAUGCUUCUGGUGCUACUGCCCUGUAACCUAUCUGGAUGAGGUCCUGCUUGGCAUCAUCAAUUGUGAUGAUCCUGACGGGUUCCCUACAGUGCUGAUGGGUAGCCUUCAGCCGUCACUGACAGUAUCACAAAUGGACCUGGCCACAGGCCACAGCCACUUCGGUUGGCUGAUCUCUCCUUGUCUCGCGCCAGCAUCUUCUCUUCUCUCCAGGAAAAAUGAAAGAUUACAAAUUGCACCUAGAAAAUCGACGAAAUUCUGUCAAGCUCGGAUGGACACUAGAAGGCUCUUGCUUGUUCGACAGGUAAGCCAAACUUCUUGUGGCGAGCGCGACAACAAGUCAACAACUGAGGCGGGUCUUGGCUACGAGACGGACGUAUGGCAGACAUGUGGGCCUCUGAGUUUUUUUUUGUGCGUGCAUUGUGCAUGCAUUGUGGUGGUUACUUCACAACUGCCUCCGCCGCACAAGGAUCCUGUUUCAUUCCAAAAACAAUUGAUGCCCGCCGGAAGAACCAAAAUCCACCUCUCUGUCUUUGAAAAACGGACGAACAGCUACGUAAGUCCUUAUGUCACUCCGGCCAGUAUAAAAGCCGGUGGCUCGUCCUGUACUUGA